ACUUUUCUUUACUGUACUGUAAUGUACUUUACUGUACUGUCCAAACUUGUGAAACAUAGACGCCUAUAAUUGGUUCCGAUUUGGUCCAUGAUUGGGCAAAAUAUAGGCCGGCCCGGACGUCUGUGGACGUUCAGGUCAAGGCUGGUCCAGACCGGACCAAAUCUGAACCAAACAUAGGUGUCUAAAUCAAGGCCGGUCCGGACCGGACCAAAUCUGAACCAAACAUAGGUGUCUAAAUCAAGGCCGAUCCGGACCGGACCAAAUCUGAACCAAACAUAGGUGUCUAAAUCAAGGCCGAUCCGGACCGGACCAAAUCUGAACCAAACAUAGGUGUCUAAAUCAAGGCCGGUCCGGACCGGACCAAAUCUGAACCAAACAUAGGUGUCUAAAUCAAGGCCGGUCCGGACCGGACCAAAUCUGAACCAAACAUAGGUGUCUAAAUCAAGGCCGAUCCGGACUGGACCAAAUCUGAACCAAACAUAGGUGUCUAAAUCAAGGCCGGUCCGGACCGGACCAAAUCUGAACCAAACAUAGGUGUCUAAAUCAAGGCCGGUCCGGACUGGACCAAAUCUGAACUAAACAUAGGUGUCUAAAUCAAGGCCGGUCCGGACUGGACCAAAUCUGAACUAAACAUAGGUGUCUAAAUCAAGGCCGAUCCGGACUGCACCAUAAAAAUAAAGAAACAAAGACGUCCAAAAGACUUAGCGAUCAAUUAGUUUUUCUGACAUUCUGUCCACAGAAGAGGACACACAGUCCAUGACUGGACUUCACUGUAAUUGUCUAUGCAUAUCUCAGAAACUG